CUUUGGAAAUACCCUAAGGUCAUUUGGAUUCAACCCUGAAAUACAAGCUCUGUCUCUUUCGAGGCGCGCAAUUUCUGCGUUCAAAGAAACCACGAGGAAGCUGGAACUGGGCCAACGAGAGGGUUCUGUGAAACGACACUGCGCUCCUUAGGGCACCGCGGUACUGACCUUGGAGCCCACCUAGCCGUGCCACGCAGCCCAUUCCUCUCUGUCCCGUACACGUUUGGACAAACGCCCUGUUGAAAUCAGAGUGGAGGGAUUACGGUACAGUGAUCCACCCUGCCUUGUGAUAAAAAAAAAAAUUGCACCAAGGCACUUCGUUGCUCCUCUGCUGUGUUCCAGGCACUGUUCUGGUGCUGGGCAACAGAGAGGCACAGGCCCUGCCUCUGAACGCCGCUGGGUCCCAUUCAUCUUCCUUCUGCCUCGUGGACAGUUCGCAAGUGACCUCCCCCUGGAACUCUGGAGCCACUUUAGCAGAAGAGGGAGGCAGCUGUCCUUCUAAGGGGCCUUCUGUCUUGCUUACAGUACAGACAAUAACAUGGGCCUGGUGUCUCUGUGACCCGGGAGCCCCUCCCCAGGCAGCGCCUGCCCUCGCCCUGGCUCAGGCCCCAAGGACCACCUGCCUCUGGCCUGUAUCUAGGGCCACGCCAGUGACAUCUCCAAGCCUCCGUGUUCUCACCUGUCACAUGGUGACAUCACACCUGGCUUUCCUGCCCUCUGACUGAGCAAGUGAAAUCCCCAGUAAAAGGGGGUGAUGCAAACACCCCCUGGGUCAGAACCAGGAGAAUCUGCUGGGUCGUCCCGGGACCAAAGACGAACACGGUGACGAAGAAACUGAUGCCAAGGUAGCGCAUCGCACUCGGAGGUGAGGGGUGGCAGCUUCUCCUGGGUUUUGCUUCCAUUUGUACAAAAAGAGAAAACCGUUUUUUUUUUUCUUUUUUCCGGCCAAGAAUCCCGUUCCUCACAGCAGGAGUUAGAAGAACAGCACCGGCAGGCAGGGGGCUCGGCUGGGCCUUACGGUCGGGGCAACAGCAGCAGCAGCAGCAGAGGCAAGGCCUCGGGAGCCCCUCACGGCACCCGUAGCCACAGCAGGUCUCUUUGUGGCCUGGGAGGGGCCCACGUGCUCCUUAGCAGGAGAGGGCUCCUGGUGGCUUCAGAGGUCUCUGUCUGGGCCCCUGUCCUCCCAGGCGGGUCACCCACAUCCACCUAACACAGUUCCCGAUUCCUCUGCUUGGAGGGUGGCAGAAAAAUUAUUGCACCAGUGACUUGGGCACAUGGAGGGGGCUGAUGGGGGAGGGGGUGUACGCCCGGGAAACGAGGCCCCCGUGAGUCUCUCUUACGGCCCGAGCACUGGGAAAUCACGUCUCUGCUGCGGGGCUUUCGGCAGGACCAGCCCGUUCCUCUGCCGUGUCUGCGCGUCUGUGCGUGUGCACCUGUCGGAGGGGAGCGUGCCCCGUGCGCGCGCAGACUGGGCCCGAGGGGGCCGCGCUUGCCUGCUUGUGGUCACCGAUUCCCUGCUGCUGCUUUUCGGCUCCUUCUGAUGAAAGGGGACUCGGGAUGGUUCGCUUACACGUUAGAACAAUAUCAAAAUCUUAAAGAAAUAAGGGGAGCAGGGGAGCAGGGUCAGGGGCAAGAAGAGGGAGGGUAACAAGAGGCAGGGCGACAACGGGGGAGGCCUUGGCACAAUGAAUACCAAGUUUAUUUCAUCUCCAGCACAGGCAGAAGGCUCAGCUCAUGCUGGGGGCACAAAAGAGAAGCCAAAGAUCCUCAUCUCUGUCGGGCCAGACCUCCCCUUUGCCCGCUGGCUGUGUCUGUGGGCCCGGCGGCAGUGCCCACCUUCCCGCAAACUCGGGGCGCAGAAAGCCCCAUCUCCGCAGGCCCGAGCGCCGACCCCUGCCUGCCCCCGGCCUACCCUGGGCCCCUGAGGAGCGACCGCCCUGCCGGGUGUGCUGCUACUGGACAAGGUGAUCUUGAAUCAGGAGCCACAGAGAUCCUGUUAAGUCUGAAGAGGUUCAAAUGCUCUACACGACCUGUGCCUCUGCUCCCCACCUCUGAUUCCAUCUCUUGCUUUCCUCCUGGCUCACUCUGCUCCAAACUUCCUCAGGGCCUUCUCACUGGCUGCUCUCCACCCCGGAAGACUCUGCUCCCAUGUCUCAGGUUACUCCUUCCCCUCCUUCAGGGCCUGGAUCAAACUUCUCAUUGACAUCACCUUCUCACCAACGCCUCCCCUGCCUGCCCUGUUUAAAACCGCAGCUCACAAACCCCACCCCUGUACUUGGGACCCCUUGACCUUGCUCUUUUCUCCAAGUCACCUUCAAAAUGACUACGUAAUUUUUCAAAUGUAUUCUACCUGUUUGCGGUCUGUCCUCCUUCUGUGCUAAAACAGAGACUCCAGAGGGACAGGGACAGGCCACUGCCUGGCAUGUGGCCGGAGUUCAAGAACAUCUGUUGAAUGAAUUGUGUCAAGGCAAAGCUUGUCUUAGAGCUGAGCCUCUGGGUCCCCCUCUAGGUCCUUCUGUUUCACUUUUCUUCCCCGAGUCCUAAGGGAGUUUACUCUUCCCUGGGGUUCUUUUGGGACCAAAGGGAACCCUGGUUAUCUGCUUUAGGGCCAGGUCUGCCUAGAGGUAGACAAAUGGCUGCGAUGACUGUCCAGCAUUGCAGACUUCCGUGUGAAGAUGCCAUAUGGGGACCUCAUUCAUCUGCAAGGAGAGGCGGCUGCUCGGUGUGGAAUGAAGCACCCGCCCGCCCCCUGCGUCCUUCCAGCUGUCACGGUCAGCUAGUAGUUCCUGGGGCACCAGAAGCAGAGCCUCAAGGGCCUCUGCUGGCCGGGGAGAGAAGAGCUGGGUGGUGGGGUCUCACGGGCCUCCCUCCCAUCAUCUUAACAAAGCGGGCAGCUCAGCCCCCUUUGCUGAAGGACUGCAGCCUCCACUCUGGGAUGGCAGGCUGGCCGGGACCCUGGGGGCAGUGGGAGCUCUGCAUUCCUUUGGGGCCAAGGUUUCCUGACUGGGACGGGUGGGCUGGUACAGGGGCUUUGGAUGGAUCUGAGGUGGAGGGCAGGUUAGGGUUUAUGGUCUGGUUCUGGGAUCUGGAGGAGUUUUAGCGUCAAAGAGGAUGUUUGGGCUUGCUUCUAGAACCAACGCCUGGUGCUUCCUCAGGCAGGCGGGAAAUGCUCUAGCAUCACGGGAUGAGGCCGGGAAGCUGCUGGAACUACAGCUCCCAGUGUGCAGUGCAGGGGCCGCAGGGAGAGUGGGAAGGCCCGGGGUCAGACAGCUGCAGCAGCUGUGUAGGCCACGGGGCAGGGCCUCGUCAUGCCGGAGCAGGACCGAAUCCUCCCAGGGGCGCAGACACAGCUGUCUGUCCAGGGGCUCCCCGACACACCCUGCCAUCCGCCCGCCCGCAGAAAGGCACGUUUGCCCAUGGCACAGCCAGGGUUCCCGUGUGCCCACUCGGCCUGCACAUAGGCGCUCGUCUGCUUGCAUUUACACGCUCAGAGGCAUGCGCCCUCCGUCCCAAAAGGACCCUGAAGCCCCACCAACACGCGGUCACAGGAACACCCGGUCUAAGAGGGAGGAGCCCUGUUACCUUCACCUUCAAGUGGUUGUCCCCAGCGGAUGAACCUGGGGCUUCCCGGAAAUGGGAACUGGGCCAGACGCCUGCACCACAGUGGCCUCCCUGCUCUGCUCCUAGAGCAGCCUGGAUACUCUUUUCCCGACAGCCCCCGUCCCAGGGAUAGAUGCUGCCCCAUUUGGCCUUUUUCAUCUGGUCAAGGCCGUACCCUGAGCGCCCCUCCCCGCCUUUCACAUUACCCUUGGAGGGGGAAGGGAAGGAAGCUCACUGGGUUGUUUUGUGACUGUUGGGCUAACCCCAUGAAAUCGCUCUCAGUACUCAGAUCUCAAAAACGGGCCUGUGUGAGGGCCCCGGGCCCCAUGGACACGUCCACGCCAAUUCUGGGGAGUCUGUCUCUUCGUCCUCAUGACCACAGCCGAGGCCUGUUGCUUCCUCACUGUACAGCCCCUCCCAAACGCUUGGUCUAAACCACCUGCCUCUCUGCUGAGAACCCUUGAGAGGCUCCCCUUUGGCGACACAGAGAAAGCUCCCCUCCUUCCAGUGCUCCCACUAUUCUCCUCCCACAAGCUUCCCCUGCCUGGGGACCCCCACCCUCCAUCACUGCCCACUCAUCCUCGUAGGAACAACUCAAAGGCCACCUUCUCCAGGGUCCGGGGCCCUGAGAAGCCUCUGCAGGUGCAGUGCCCUGCACACGUGUGCCCUGCACACGCACGUGCCUCUGGCACACACCCUGCGGCCCGCCUCCUCCCACCCCUGCCCCGGCUUCUCUUCAUUUUCCUCUCCAGAUGGGCCCAGGGCAAAGCUAUUACCCGAACGGGUGGCCAGAAUGAAAAAUUAAAUUUCCACUUAUCCGUCUCGCUGAUGCAUUCCCUCCUGACCAGUGGGGCUUGGAGCACAGGGCAUGGCUGUGCCCCCACAGCGGGCCCCCAGAGAACGUGAUAGGCACCAGCUGAUGUGGGACAAGGGCCGGUGGUGUCAGCGGCUGCUCCGAGAUUGUCCGUGAGCGCCAGAACACAUGGCUGUGAAAAGGCUCAGGCUUCCCGGCUGAGCCGUCUUGCGGGCCCGAGAGGUAGGUCCUCCCUCGGGAGGGCCGGCUAAACGGCUCCCGGGCCCAUCAGUGAUUCAGUGGGCACCACGCGUCCCUGGCCUCUGCCUAACUGGGCUGUCAACAAGAGUGUCCUCAUGCAAGUCACCUGCGUGUGACUUUGCUUACCAGCCCUGUCUCUCUCUGUGCCUCCGGGGAGCACGGGAGGCUAUGCCGCAUGCGUCUUCCAGCUGGAGCCCUGGGCAGCUUGGCCCGCCUGCCCACAGGCCAGCUAGGCCUGACCACAGAUCCCACGCAGGGCAUCCCACUGCUGCCAUCAGCCCCAAGGAGACAGCCCGCCUCCACGGCUGGCUUCGCGUCCUCCCUUUCCUCUCUUUUCUUUAGCCUGGGCCUGGGAAGUGCCCCCUCCCCUUCCUCCCUGCUCCUGGAUGCCACUGAGUCCCUGAUGAGCAGCGUGCAUUCACAGUCAUCCUGCCUCCUCUCGAGCUUUGGGAGAAGGGAGGCCCCGACUUAGCUGGGUAGCGCCACCUGGCCCCAUUAGCCUAGAAGGGCCUCUGGCUGGUCCACUCAUGCCAGGGGUAGGAUCACGGGAGAUCACUGCUCCCGUUUCUUGGCCCCCUCCCCUGACUUCCCAGUCAGCAGUGUCUCCAGCCAGCGGAGUAUGCAU